UACGAAGGGGGCUAGCGUUGUUCGGAAUUACUGGGCGUAAAGGGCGCGUAGGCGGUACUUCAAGUCAGGCGUGAAAGCCCCGGGCUCAACCUGGGAACCGCGCUUGAGACUGGAGAACUAGAGUUCGGGAGAGGAUGGUGGAAUUCCCAGUGUAGAGGUGAAAUUCGUAGAUAUUGGGAAGAACACCGAUGGCGAAGGCAGCCAUCUGGACCGACACUGACGCUGAGGCGCGAAACGUGGGGAGCAAACAGG
rnacentral:rRNA from 1 species